AGUGAACGCUGGCGGUAGGCCUAACACAUGCAAGUCGAACGGCAGCACAGUAAGAGCUUGCUCUUACGGGUGGCGAGUGGCGGACGGGUGAGGAAUACAUCGGAAUCUACUUUUUCGUGGGGGAUAACGUAGGGAAACUUACGCUAAUACCGCAUACGACCUACGGGUGAAAGCAGGGGAUCUUCGGACCUUGCGCGAUUGAAUGAGCCGAUGUCGGAUUAGCUAGUUGGCGGGGUAAAGGCCCACCAAGGCGACGAUCCGUAGCUGGUCGGAGAGACUGAUAGGCCACACUGGAACUGGGCCACGGUCCAGACUCCUACGGGAGGCAGCAGUGGGGAAUAUGGGACAAUGGGCGCAAGCCUGAUCCAGCCAGACCGCGUGGGUGAAGAAGGCCUUCGGGUUGUAAAGCCCUUUUGUUGGGAAAGAAAAGCAGCAGGUUAAUACGCCGCUGUUCUGACGGUACCCAAAGAAUAAGCACCGGCUAACUUCGUG
rnacentral:rRNA from 1 species